UACGAAGGGUGCAAGCGUUAAUCGGAAUUACUGGGCGUAAAGCGCACGUAGGCGGUUAGUUAAGUUGGAUGUGAAAGCCCCGGGCUCAACCUGGGAAUUGCAUUCAAAACUGGCUAACUAGAGUAUGUGAGAGGGGGGUAGAAUUCCAAGUGUAGCGGUGAAAUGCGUAGAGAUUUGGAGGAAUACCAGUGGCGAAGGCGGCCCCCUGGCACAAUACUGACGCUGAGGUGCGAAAGCGUGGGGAGCAAACAGG
rnacentral:rRNA from 1 species